rnacentral:lncRNA from 1 species
AAACACCCUCAUAAAAUGUGUCGUGUCAGAGAAGAAAUCAGGGACACCGUUGGAGAAAACGUAGAAGUUGAAGAAUCUGACAUCUCCCGGCUCCCCUACCUACAGGCGGUGGUUAAAGAGACGUUCCGCCUCCACCCCGCCGCCCCUUUCCUGGUUCCCCACAAGGCCGACGCCGACGUCGAAAUCGACGGCUACACCGUCCCGAAAAACGCCCAGGUUCUUAUUAACGUGUGGGCGAGCGGCAGAGAUCCCGACACGUGGCUGGAGGCGGAAUUGUUCUCGCCGGAGAGGUUUAUGGAUGGCCGGCAGAUAGAUUUCAGGGGGAAAGAUUUCGAGCUGAUUCCGUUCGGAUCGGGAAGGAGGAUUUGCCCGGGUUUGCCGUUGGCUUAUCGAAUGGUGCACCUCAUGUUGGCGAAUUUUGUGGGAAAUUUUGAAUGGAGGUUAGAUGGAGAUUGUAAGGAAAUCGANNNNNNNNNNNNNNNNNNNNNNNNNNNNNNNNNNNNNNNNNNNNNNNNNNNNNNNNNNNNNNNNNNNNNNNNAAAAAAAAGAACGAAAUAAGGUUGUUCGUGUUGAAAUAUAAUGCACUUUCUAGAAAUGUGUCUACAUGCAUGUAUAUUGUAUGAUAGGAUACAUGAAUAGGUAAGUACAUAAAUCUUUAGACACAUUAUGUACCUCAUAUGCCUACACCAGUAUAAAUAGGUCUUGAGUUUGUAGUUGUAAUAACAACAUGUAUUGACAAGAGUAAAUUAUGUAGGAAUAUGUAAUCAUCAGUAUUUCUUUAUUAAUCUUGUUCAUAUAUUGGCUGCAAAAUAUUCAACAUGGUAUCAAAGCCCGUUUGUUCAUAUUCAAUUAGGGAAUUAAAAAAAAAAGGGUCGUGUUGAAUUAGUUGAUCACACAUUCAAUUAACUGAAGAAAAAGAAAAAAACCCAAAGGAUUACGUAUCUAAAAUCAAACCAAGAAGGAGAUUUCAUGACAAGUUCUAGAAUCACUCGUGAAUAAAGAAGGAGAAUUCAAUGGCAAGUUCCAGAAUCCCUCAACCUCUUCCCAUGUUUGUCGGUAAAAACUUUGUGCAAAAAGUGUAAAAACUCACAUGAUGAGAAGUAAGAAUGUAUUCCCAUGUAGUUUCCAUGUAGUAUUUUCAAGUCAAAACACUUGGAGAAGGAUUGCAACCACACCCCAAGGCACAAACUAACAAAAUAGAUAUUUGACAAAGAGUAUUUGUUUUUUGCUAAUCAAUUUUCAGAAUAAGAAAACAAAGAGUAUUUGUUUUUUGCUAGUUAAUUUUCAGAAUAAGAAAACAAAGAGUAUUUGUUUUUUGCUAGUUAAUUUUCAGAGUGAGAAAAAGAUUUCAAUCCGAAGGGUAUUGAAGCUGACGAAAAAAAUACAUUAAAGAGUGGUAUUCUUUCUAGAAAUAUAUCUAUAUGCAUUUAUGAUGUAUGAUAGGAUACACGAGUAGGAAAGUACACGAAUCUUUAGAAAAAUGUGUAUUUAGAAUUCUUGAUAAAUCUUAUAUAUUCAAUACAUGUACCUCAUAUACCUAGAAAGCUAGACUAGUAUAAAUAAGUUUUGAGUUUGUACUUGUAAUUAACCAUGUAUUGACAAGAGUAAAAUAUGCAGGAGAUACGUGCUCCUCAAAUAUUUUCUUGUUAAUCUUAUUCAUAUAUCUCCGCAAACUAGUCAACAGUUUGAGGUUUGGAUUGGUACAAUAUUGAGCAUAUAUUUUAUGUCUAAUAUAUAUAUAUAUAUUCAAACCGUGAAAUUCUUUAUUGUGAAGCCUAAUAUGCGAGCCCACUUAAAAACCCUGAAGGCCAGUAUUCAUGUCACUUGAGAAAAAAAAACCAUUCAAAUUCAAACAAGGAAGAAAACAUUCCAUUGACAUUUGAGGUAUAUGUUUUUCAUAACGAAGUUCUUUUUUGUUUUAAAGAAGGUAACCUUUUAUAUAAAGAGGUAAUAUGCUAUGAGGUCCUCAAAUGAAAUCAAUUUUAAUUUAAUGACAAAUUCAAAUCCUUAUUUAAAUUAUUAGUUUGAAAUAAUAUAUGAGCCACAUCUUUAUUUUUUGGGGUUAUAUGAGAUAACCCCCUCAUACAAUUUUUUUAGAGGCAUAAAUCCAUAUUUUUAUUUACUAUUAGGGAUAACCCCUUAUUAAGAUUAAUACCUCAUUUACCCUUAUUAUAUCCAUAAAAAUAUAAUUAAAUUAUUAUUGCUAAAAUAACUCCCCUAAAAUAACUCCCCUUAAAUCUCUCACCAACUCCCCCAUAUCUCUCUCACAAUGCAAAUCACGUGUUUCGGUUUUUCUUAUGAUUCUUUAUACAAUAUUUUUGUAAUUUCCAUUUAAAAAAUAUAAUUCUUUUUUUUCAAUUUUCAUUUUUUUUUAAUUGGUUUUUUACGGCAAGUUUAACAAAAAAUUGAAAUCCACUACAUACUUAUUGAAAACCACUAUAAAUUCAUCUUUUACAAUUUUUUUGUAAUUUCAAUUCAAAAAAUAUAUAUAUAUAUAUAUAUAUAUAUAUAUAUAUAUAUAUAUAUAUAUAUAUAUAUAUAUAUAUAUAUAUAUAUAUAUAUAUAUAUAUAUAUAUAUAUAUAUAUAUAUAUAUAUAUAUAUAUAUAUAUUUGUUUUCAAUUUUCAUUUUUUUUAAUUGAUUUUUUUUUACCGCAAGUUUAACAAAAAAUUGAAAUCCACUACAUACUCAUUGAAAACCACUAUAAAUUAAUUGAGAAUAACUAUUCGAUUAACAUAGAAAUCAAUAUGAAAUUAUCGUAAUCAACUUUAAUAUUAAUAUAAUGCACUACAAACGUAUCGAAAUCGAAUAAAAAUUUACAUAAUCCACUACGAAUUAACGUAAUCUAUUACAAAAUUAUCAAAAUCCAGUACAAAGUUAUCAAAAUCCACUUUAUAGGUUAAAGUAAUCCACUACAAAAUUAACGCAAUAUAUGGAUUGAAAUCCACUACAUACUCAUUGAAAACCACUAUAAAUUCAUCGAAAACCACUAUUCGGUUAACGUAGAAAUCAAUAUGAAAUUAUCGUAAUCAACUUUCAUAUUAAAUAUAGUGCACUACAAACGUAUCGAAAUCGAAUAUAAAUUUACAUAAUCCACUACGAAUUAACGUAAUUCAUUACAAAAUUAUCAAAAUCCAGUACAAAGUUAUCAAAAUCCACUUUAUAGGUUAAAGUAAUUCACUACAAAAUUAACGUAAUAUAUGGAUUGAAAUCCACUAAAUACUCAUUGAAAACCACUAUAAAUUCAUCGAAAACCACUAUUCGAUUAACGUAGAAAUCAGUAUGAAAUUAUCGUAAUCAACUUUCAUAUUAAUAUAGUACACUACAAACGUAUCGAAAUCGAAUAUAAAUUUACAUAAUCCACUACGAAUUAACGUAAUCCAUUACAAAAUUAUCCAAAUCCACUACAAAGUUAUCAAAAUCCAUUUAAUAGGUUAAAGUAAUUCACUACAAAAUUAACGUAAUAUUUGGAUUGAAAUCCACUACAUACUCAUUGAAAACCACUAUAAAUUCAUCGAAAACCACUAUUCGAUUAACGUAGAAAUCAGUAUGAAAUUGAAUAUAAAUUUACAUAAUCCACUACGAAUUAACGUAAUCCAUUACAAAAUUAUCAAAAUCCACUACAAAGUUAUCAAAAUCCACUUUAUAGGUUAAAGUAAUCCACUACAAAAUUAACGUAAUAUAUGGUUAAUCCACUAAAAAAAUAUCGUAGAAAAACACUUAUGCAUCAACAACAAACUUAUCAAAAUCCACUACAAGCUUCCGAAUUUAUGAUAGCGUUGCUCGUGGUUUUCGUUAGGUUAGAGUGACCCGGUGAUAAACACUACAAACUUAUCAUCACCCAACAUCGUCUCACUUGCUGCCAUCACCCGCUUGUGCAAGAACCUAAACCAAAGAAAAAUAAGACAACAACGUGUCAAUUUAAUUCAUUCACUAAAAUUCGGUCUCCAAAGCAAAAAUUUAAAAUCCACUAUAAUCUCGUCAAAACCCACUACAAAAAUUAUCGAAAUCCACUAAAAUAUUAACAUAAUCCACUACGAAAUUAGUUAAUCCACUAAAAAAUUACAACAACAGUAUAAUAACAAAUAUUCAAAUAGUGACCGAAAACAUGAAGGAGCCUCAAAAGUAUAUUGAAAAUCUCAUAUAUAUAAUAGCUCAUUCAACAAUUCAACUAGUUGUCACUUCUAUUUUGUUAUCCAUCAUAUAGAAUUUAUUUAUGGAUAUAAAGAAAAAAUGAUAGCAAAAAAAUAGCAGCAAACCAACAUCUUAAAACAGCAGCAAAGCAACACGAAAACAACAGCAAAACAACAACAAAAUCAGCUGCAAAUUAGGAGCCAAACAGCAGCAAAGCCAAAAGAAAACAGCAGCAAAAAAACAGCAGCAAAAACAGCAGCAAAAAACAGCAGAAAAAACAGCAGCAAAAAACAGCAGCAGCAGCAAAAAACAGCAGCAAAAAACAGCAGCAAAAUGGCAUCCAAACAAUAGCCAAUUGUAGCUAAAAAAUACAAUAAAUAAAUUAUAAUUCUAAAUUUUCAGAAAAAAAAUAUCCAAAAUUUGAAAAUAUUUUUGGAAAUUAUGGAAUUUUCGAUAAUAUUUAGUGCUUCACCUUAUUGAUUCGUAUUGUAUUUCUUAUUAAAAAUUAUCAAAUUUCAAAACCAAAACAUGUUUGAAAUAAGACAUUAUCAAAUUUCAAAACCAAAACAUGUUUGAAAUCAGAAGAAUUUAUAUAAAAAAAUAUGAAAUCAUGGGAUGAAAAAUCAAAAAACCUAAAGCGACGAAGUAUUUUCGCAUACCUUAUAAUCAACAACCGCCGACGAGAAAGAGAACCGCGAUGAACUUAUCUAUUUGCCGACAAAAUAUAGAGGGAAUGAGACAAAUCGUUCUGCGUUUUGGGAAAACAUACCAACUUCGUGGGUAAGCGGAUCUCGUCAGCGAGUGAGAAGACGAUUAACAAGAUGGACAGAUCUGGUAGUAUGUAACGAGGGGCGGCGAUGGUGGUGGGAAAAGAGAGGGGCGGCGGCCGAGCAGGAGAAGGGCGGAGAUGGUGUGGUCAUCCGGUGAGACGACGAGGUUGUGGAGCAAGAUUAUGGCGUGACUGUGGAGAGAAAGAAGGAAGAAGACGAAGCGAGGUUGUGGGGCGUGCGUGGGGCGUGCGUGAUUGUGGAGAGAAGGAAGGGAGAAGAGGAAUAAGUGAAGGGACGUGUUUCGGGCUUUGAGUAGGUUAAAAAAAUUGAGAAAGGGUAUAACAGGUUAUUAAUAAUAUAAUUUGUUUAAUAAAAUACAAUUGGAUUUAUCUCAAAAAGGAGGAAAAAAAAAAGGAUUUAGUCUAAUGAUACAUUGUAUAUGAGGGGGUUAUCUCAAAUAAUCCCUUAUUUUUUUUAUCCAUAUCUUACUCUUAUACCCGAAAUCCUAUAAUCUAUACAUUCACGAAUUUCCAAUUCAAAUUUCUCUCUCUCUCUCUCUCUCUCUCUCUCUCUCUCUCUCUCUCUCUCUCUCUCUCUCUCUCUCAUUGUAGCACGAAGACCGGCAACGAGAGUCGUGGUGGCAGCGGCAGGGGUUUGUGCGGCCAGGGGCUGUGGUUGUGGUGGAGAUGUUAUUGAAAACAAAUUUUUACAAUUUGCAUUUGAUUUUCUUAUAUUUUAAGAGAUUGUGCUUGUUUUUGGUUCAAAAUGACAGUCUGGGUUUUCCGAAAGUUAGUAGGUGACUACGUCGCGGCGACUGCGACGGUUGGUGCUAGAGUGGGCGGCGGCUGCAAUGGUUGCUAGGGUUGGUGACAAGUGGGAGUUGUGGGUGACGAUUGGAAUAGUAAAUCACAGUACAUCAUAGUAUACUAUAGUACACCGUAGUAUACCAUAGUCUACUACAGACCUAUUAAAAAGUAUAUAAAUUGAAAUUAAUUUUUUUUUUGAAAAAACAGUAUUUUUUAUUUUUUUGUAAUUUACAGUAUUAUGUAUGUAUAAAGGAAUAAUUUUUUUUUUAUAAUAGUGUAUAAAAUACUAAAAUGAAAAAGGGAAGAAAAAAAAGGACAAAGGGAUAUUAUGUAUUAGAAUAAUAAACGAAAGACCACAGCGACAAGUUGGUUUGUUGGUCACCUACUCUGACAGACUAUGAGUUGGUUAGCGUCUAAAACUGAUUUUAAAAGAGCAUUUUAGGUACUUAAGGGUGGGCAAGGGGGAUCUGUCAAAUUAAUUUCAAAAUGGAGGGGUAUGCACGAGGGUGUAAUUUUUUUGGUGGUUAGUUAUAUAAUUUUCAUAUAAAGGGGUCUCUUAAAUAAUCCCUUUACGAUGUUUUUCGCUCUUUUUUUGGUAGAUUUUGAAUGUCUAUUUGUUCCAAAUGAUUAAUUCGUAAAUAAUUCUUACACACACCAAUAUUAUUUGAGUCCGAAACGAAAAACCAAUUCCAUUCAGUUGGAUUGUUUCUAAAAUUGCGAGAUCUAUUAGAAAUAGGCUUUGUUGUUUUAAAUUAUUUUCGCUUUAUGUUUUUUUUCAAAAUUAUCGUUUGUUCCCAGUUUAUUAACCUUUUUUGAGUUUUAUUAACACGUUAUUAUUUAAUUUCAUGAAGUAUACAUACGUAUGUAAUAUCUUGAAUUUUAAAUAAGUUUGAAUGUGGUAAAAAUUUAGAGACUUUUCUGCUCUUUUUCCGUGGAUUUUAAAUGUUCUCAUGGUUAAUUUGAUGUAAUUAAUUUUUACAUACACCAGUCGUAUUUGAGGUCGGAACAAGAAUCAUAUCUUUACGAAGAACGAUUGCACGAAAAACACUCAUGAGCAGAGCUCAUGAAUCACACCAAUCACACCGGGUUAUGGUUAUCCGACGUGGUGUCGGGUUAUAAAAAUCAAAUUUUGUUAUUUCAUGAAAGUUUUAGAAGAUUCAUAUAAAUUCAUAGAAACAUCCGAUGAUGAUUCUAUUAGUUGAGUUCUUUCUAAAAUUGCGAGAUGUAUUAGAAUUAACUUUUAACUCAUUUUCGUAUUUAUUUCCAAAUUGAUCGUUUUUCCCGGUUUAAUAAGGUUUUUUGAGUUUUACUAGCACAUUAUUACUUUCACGAAGUAUAAAUACAUAUGUAAUAACUAGAAUUUAAAAUAAGUUCGAAUAUGGUACAAUUUUUAAUAUUUUCGCUCUUUUUUUGGUGGAUUUUGAAUGUUUAUUUGCUCCAAAUGUUUAAUUCGACAUAAUUAAUUCUUACACACACCAGUCUUAUUUGAGACCAAAACAAAAACCCAAUCCCAAACAAAACUACCCGACUAACAACCCUCAUGUGCGUAGGUCAUGAAUCAAGUGAGAUUUCGGUGAUCCCACAUUUCGACUCAUAUAUAUUAAAAUUUGCUAUUUUAGGAAAGUUUUAGAAAAUUUAUAUAAGUUCAUGAAAACAUCAUAUGCCGAUUUUGGCAGGUUGGUUGUUUAUAAAACUGCGAGAUCUAUUACAAUAAGUUUUGAACUCAUUUUCGCAUUGUUAUGAAAAAUGAUCGUUUUUUUCUCGAUUUAUAAAGGAUUUUUUGAGUUUUAUUAGCACUUUAUUACUUUUACGAAGUAUAAAACGUAUGUAAUAACAAGAAUUUAAACUAAGUUCGAAUGUGGAACAAUUUCAGAGAUUUUUAGCUCUUUCAUCAAUGGAUUUCAAAGAUUUAUUUGGUUUUAAUUCUUACACACACCAGUGGUUUUUAGUCCGGAACUAAAACUUAACCGCAAUAAAAAUGGCCUGACAGAUAAAAUUCAUGAUCGUAGCUCAUGAACUACGUCACAUUUUAGUGAUCCGAAGUCGUUCGAACUCAUAAAAGUCAGAAUUUGUUAUUCUAAGAAAGUUUGAGAAAAUACAUAUCAAUUCGUAGAAACAUCAACUGAGGAUCCCGUCACUUGGGUUGUUUCUAAAAUUGCAAGAUCUAUUAGAUUUAGGUUUUGAAUUCAUUUUUAUGUUUUUGCAAAAUUAUCGUUUUUCCUGGUUUUUUAAAGUUUUUCUAAGUUUUAUUAGCACUUUAUUACUUUCACGAAGUAUAAAUACAUAUGUAAUAGCUAGAAUUUCAAAUAAGUUCGAAUGUGGUAUAAUUUCGGACGUUUUUCGCGAGUUCGAACGUUUAUUUGCUCAACAUGAUUAAUUCGAUUUAAUUAAUUCUUCCAUACACCAGUUUUAUUUGAGUCCAGAACAAAAAUCCAAUCGCAAUCAAAAUUGCCCGACAAACAACACUCAUGAGUACAAGUUAUGAAUCACGUCAGAAGUCGGUGAUUCGCCUCAUUAGAAUCAAAUUUUGCUAUUUUAGGAAAGUUUCAGAAACUUCUUAUCAAUUCAUAGAAACAUCAUGAGGAUUCCGUCGGUUGGAAUGUUUUCUAAAAGUGUGAGAUCUAUUUGAAUUAUAUUUGAACCCAUUUUUCGUUUUUUUUGCAUAAUGAUCGUUUUUCUCCAGUUUAUUAAAGUUAUUUUCAAGUUUUACUAGCACUUUAUAAUUCUCACGAAGUAUAGACGUAUGUUAUAGUAGACUUUAAAAUAAGUUCGAAUGUGGUAUAAUUUCUGAGAUGUUUCUCUAUUUUUUUGGUGGAUUUCAAAUGUUUAUCUCCACAUGAUUAACUAGAAGUAAUUAAUUCUACAUACACCAUUCGUAUUUGAGUCCAGAACAAUAACACAACCUCAAGCAAAACGGUCCAUUCGUAUUUGAGUCCAGAACAAUAACACAACCUCAAGCAAAACGGUCCGACUAAUAAAACUCAUGAGCAUAGCUGAUGAACCACGUUAGACUUUGGUUAUCUAACAUCGUUCCGGCUCAUAAAAAUAAUAUUUUGCUAUUUUAAAAAAGUUUGGGUUUACGUUAUAGUAUAUGAUGUUAUUUUAGUUUUUCCGCUCGAAUAUAUAGUUGCUUUUGAUGGAAUUGUGGUGGGUUCCUUUUAGUUUUACUAGUUUGUGUGUCUCGCACAACUAUAUAAUUGUUUUCAUUACGUAAUUGAUUUCGGCUCUGUUAUUUUUGUUGUGAAAUAAUUUCCAUUAGCUUAUGAGUGUUAAUGAUAUAUGGUAAUAUGAAAUAAUCCACCAAAAUAAGGUUAGUGGAAAAGCCAUUUGUAUAUAAUAAAUAUUGUGUAUGUAUAUAUAUGUCUAUCAUAUAAGGCAAAAUAAGGUAAUAUAAUAGAGAAUCACACUAAUUAGUGGGAUAAUUAACAAAUAAAGAAACAUAAAAAGUUGGGAGAAAAAAGAAGGCUCAUGGCCAUUUUAUUAAUUCAAAGAGUAUACAUGUAUUUAUAGGCAUGAGAAUGCCUUAGUCACCAUUACACAUGUCAUUACUUGAUAACUUCUAUAGUCUAAUUGUGACACCUAUCUAGGAUACUUGUCAAUGCCAUAUUUUCCAAUGUGCUAAAGUCCAUAUUAUUAUAACACCCCCCCUUGCACGUAGCACUAUUGUAUCGAUUGAAUUGAUGCCUCAUUAAAAACCUUAAGCCGGAAAACCCAGUGGGAAAAACCGAUAAGAAGGGAAAAAUAGUGCAUGAUUCAAAUUCAAGUCGUGUGCAUAAGCUGCCUCGCUAAAAACCUUAGCUGGAAAACCCCAAUGGGAUGAAAACCAAUCCUAAGGGAAAAAAGAGUGCAACGCACUUUUGCCCCCCCUGAAUUGAGCAAUAUAAGCCCCCAAAAUGGGCUGUCAAUCAAUUUGUAGGUUGUCUCAUUAAAAACCUUAAGCUGGAAAACCUUAUGGAAAAAAACCAGUCAAAAGGGAAAAAGAGUACAACAUAUCAUAACAUUAUGUGCUCUCCCUGAAACAAAUAAUAUAGGCCUCCGAAAUAGGCUAUUUAUAAAUCAUAAGUUGCCUCGUUAAAAACCUUAUGUCGAAAAAACCACAUGGGAAAUGACCAAACAAAAGCGAAAAAGAGUGCAACAUAUCAUCACUCCGUCUUUGCGUUACGCAUUUUAAAUCCACAGGAGUUUAAAUAUUAAAAUUUAGUGAAUUAUAAAGAUGACAUUAGAAUGUUUGUUAGACGUAUGUCCAUUCCCUCAUGGACAACCCUAGGAAACGAAAAAUGAUUGUAUUCAUUACGUGUGAAUACAUAUAAUCAUAAUUAAUCCCAUAUCAUCAGGAUAAUUCUUGAGUAAUAAGGCCGACAUUAUAUCGUACAAUUUUGUUGUCAUUAUUUCUCUAACGAACAAAAUCCCAUUUAUAUCCAGAGAAUUUUACAUUGUCCGGAGUUUGUACAACUAACCCAUAUUUUAUUUCGUUUCUCUAGGAAAGUCAAUCCCAAUUUAACCGCUUUCUCGCAUUUAGGCCAAACUCGGCUUUGUUGACAUUCUAUUUUUUGAAUGUGGUUCACUGGCAUAAUUAUCUCAAAAAAUUAUAAUUGCCUUCCUUGAGAGAUUAAACUCUACAGAAUUAUAUAUAGCAUGUUUAUUAUGAUGACCUGUUUAUUCAGUGGAUUAAAUUAAUCAAUAUGAGUGUGAGCGUGUGCUACAAGGUACUGAUAUUUAUCCCAUGUACUGCACAAUCUUAUCAAAAUUAUUUUUGAUCGAGUUUCUCUGGCACUAUCUCUUAUCAUAUGCCCGGGGUAUAGUAAUUUGUGCAGAAAAUAUGCGAAAUAAUAUUGCACGUAUAUAAUAAACACACGCGAGACCAUCUAUAAGAUGCUUCUCACAAAUAAUAAAUAUUUAAGAUAUUGGUGCACUUGAAAGGUUGUAUUGGUCCAUAAAUAUCAACCCUUUUGCACUAAAGGUUAUAUAACGAGAUCUAUGUUUAAUAUAAAUCACAUAAAUACUCUUCGGACAUUGGGAUCCCUUCACCGUUUAACAAAUGUCCUUUAGUAUCUUAUGUAUUUCUACACAUCAUUAUAUUUUAUGGGCGUCCCCAUACUAUCAUGCCAAAACCUGAAUAUUUGAGGAUUAACCAGUUUAUAUGACAUGUUGGUGUAGUAAUUGAAAACUCGAAUUAGGACACAAUACAGUACAAGAGCUAAUGCUUUUAAUAAGCAGAACAAUUGUUUAUUCCUAGAGCCAUAAUCUCUACGGAAAGUAAUUUAGUUUUAGUUCGUGCUUUGCGCAAUAUCACACUCAAUAAAAUUUGGAAUAUAUUAAAUUUUUAAUUAGACUAAUACAUCGUCCGGGGAGAUUUAAACUCAACCUCGGGAAUAUAUAUAUUUCAUGGGAGAUAUGCAAACUUUACUUCAGGAAUAUUUCAUCUAAAGGAGAACUUCUAAAAUUCGACCUCGUGAAUAUGUCACUCGAGGGUGAUAUGUAGUUUAUCUUAAUUUCGGGAAUCAGUCCGAGAAAGAUAUAUAACUCAAUUUCAAAGUUCGGAAUUAUAAUAUAGAGACAAUAGUCUAUUAUGUUUGUGUUUCACAUGUACAUCCAUAUUAAAUAAUAUUUCCAUAAAAUACUAACUCAAUCUUGAGAAGUUAACAUCCAAAAGAUAUAUAUAAUUUAACCUCGAGAAUGUUUUCGUUCUAGGGAGUUUUGCAAACUUGAUCCCGGGAAUUGAACAUUCGAGAGAGAUAUGUACAUGUUGCACAAUUAGUAGACAUAUCGAAUUAACUUUGAAAUAUUACCAAUAUCAUCAGGGGUGUAUAAGCUCGACCUUGGGAAUAUUUCUUCCAAGGGGAUAUUUCUUCCGAGCUAGAGAGUCGUAAAUUUUUAUUUGGGGAAUAUAUAAUUAAGCUCGACCUCAGGAAUGUAUCGUCCGAGGGAGAUAUUAUAAACUCGAUCUCGGGCAUAUGUCGUCCGAGAGAUAUAUACAUUUUAUCUUAGAAAUUAGCUCAAUCUCGAGAAUAAAAUCAUCCGAGAGAAGUAUUUAAAUUUGACGUCAUUUAUAUUUAUUUCGAGAAAAUAUUAUAGGCUCAACCUCGGGUAUAUAUCGUUCGAGGGAGGUAUGUUCAUAAAUAAAUAAAUUCAAUCUCGACAACCGUUACAUCGAGAGAGUUAUAUCGUAAUCAUUAAAAAAUAUUAUCAUUGCAUGAUCUCAAAUAUAUUGUAACACCCCGCAUUUUCGGUAAAAUAAUUUUUACCACCUUUAUGUGCAUAUUUGUGAAAUUAGAAUUUAUAAUAAUUCUUGCAUGAUUAGUAGUUACGUGAAUUAGGUAAUUAUGUGAUUAUUAUGUGAAUUAUGUGAUUAUGUGAAUUAUGUGCUUAGGAAAUAUUUCGAGAUAUUAUUUCGAAAUAAAUUAUUUUCAUGAAUUAGGAUUUUAUUCUUGCAUAUGAAUUUAAAUGAGCAUUUCAUCAUAUUAUUGCAUGCACAAAAUUUUAGAAAAUGAAUUUUUAUCAUAAAUUUUAGGAUUUUUAAUUAAUGUCGAAAAUUAAAAAAUCCUCCCCACAUUUUCUUGAAUUUUCGGACAUCACACACACACACACACAUGAUUUUUAAAUUUUUGCAUAUUAAUUAGUAGAAAAACAUGCAUUAGUGUGGUUGUACUUUGAGCAUAGAAAGAAAUACUCAAGCCUAGUUCCCUGCUCUAUAGACUAGGCAUGCUUUUCACUCCUUUAAGUAAGACCAAAGGUCUUUCUUCUUCUCCCUUCCUCCUUCAUUUCGGCAGCCAUCACCCCCACCACCAUAGCCACCAUUUUCUCAAGCUUGAACCACCCAAGAACCACCACCACCUCAACUUUCGGAAAUUGCAAAAUCACCCCCACAAAAAAAUGUAUUUUCCUUUCUUCUCCAUUGGCUUUGAACUCUCCAAAUAUUCUAUAAAUACCUCCCAUGCCCAAGAUCAAAAUACACUCUCAAACUCCACUCUUACAAUCCUGAAGUUCAAAGUCUCCUUCUAUUUCAACAAAAGGAGAAUUUUCGGCCAAGCUUAGGAGUAAGCUUCUCCUCCCUCUUCUUUCUUCUUCUUUUCCGAAAGAGCAAAGCUCUUCUUCCUCCAAGUUCUUUUGUUUUCUUCUUAUUUUCUUAAUGCCUAAUCUAACUCUUAAUCUCUUCUUGUAUUAGAGAGAAAAGAGCUAACAAAUCCUUCCCCUAAAGAGUAGAGGUGAGAAUUCUUGAAUUCUUGCUCAAAACUACAACACCACUAGUAUUUUCGGUUCUUAUGUGUUUUUAUGUGUUUUUAUUGUUUAUCCUUGCAUAUUAUGUGAUUAUAUGUUUUAGAUGAUGAUUGCAUGUUAGUGUUUUGAAAAGAUAACUUUGUUCUUGAAGUUUUAUGUUUUUUCGAAAAUUUGGGGAAAAAUGUUUAAAUUGCUUAUUUGGCUUAAUUAGUGCCUUGCAUGUGUUAAUCUAGUGUUUGAUUGUUGAUUUGUGAAAAGAAAAUGAAUUUUGGCCUACCCAUGAAACUUUCGAAAUUUUUGGGGAAAAUGCUUAAACUGCUUAUUUGGCUUAAUUAGUGCCUUGCAUGUGUAAAUCUAGUGUUUGAUUGUUGAUUUGUGAAUAAAAAUUGAAGUUUUGACUUAGCUAAGUAACCUUCGAAUUUUGAGGUAAAAUGCUUAAAAUUUCUUAUUUGGUCUAUUUGCUAUCUUAUAUGUGUUGAUCUUGUGUCGAUUGUUGUUUUAAGGCCUUGCAUGUAAGAUUUGGUGAUUGAUUGUUGAUCUAAGGUCUUGCAUGUUAAGAUCUAGUGAUUGAUGGUUGAUCUAAAGUCUUGCAUGUUAAGAUCUAGUGUUUUCUAUGUAAAACGUUGGGGGUACCCAGGGGUUCAACGGCUUGUUGCAUACGCUAAAUGCAAUCGUGAUUCCCUACGUUAAUGGCCUAGGUUUAGUUUUUUGCUUAAAGUCUUGAAUUUUAUUCUUGUAAAAAUGCUAGAUUUAGUAAACUUUUGAUGUUAUAUUGUCUUUGCAUAUUGAUAAGUGUUCGUUUUGCACAACUUUUACUUAUCUAAUCUUCGUGUUUUGGUCUUCAUUCGUCCGAGUUUUCGGCUUUAUUUGUAUAUAUUAUGUUGUUUUUGUUUUAUUUAUAUUUUUAGGUAAAGAUAAGCUAUUUUUGCCGAUUCGAGACGAUUUUGGAAGCGAAGCCGAGAAUCAAACCAAACACGUGCAAAAGUGCAUUCUCGCGGAUUGUGGCAGUGUUUGGUAUUUCAAGCAUAACUUUUGCAUACGACCUCCGAUUGGGCUGAUUCAAGUGGAUUUAGAAAGAUAACUUCAAGGGCUACAACUUUUGUGAAAUGCACAAUUGUCGAAUUCGGGCUGAAAAAGGGUGAAAAAAGUGUUUGAAGUUAAUGCAGAGGCCAGAUCGCGAUCCAGAAUCACCGGAUCGCGAUCUGGUGCCAAAUUCCAGUAGCAGCGAAAAGUUGGGGCAGAUCGCGAUCCGCACUUCCUGGAUCGCGAUCUGGGAAGGCGGUGGGCAGUUUUCGAGGUUGCCAGAUCGCGAUCCAAGAAGCCCAGAUCGCGAUCUGGGCACAGAAAUCGAGACUAGAUAUUUUUCUUUGAUUUUUCACUAUAAAUAGAAGGUCUCUUUUUCAUUUUUAUAUAUCUCGAUUAACUCUCGAUUAUCUCUCGACUUCUUCUUCGGUUUUCUCUUCGGUUCUCGCCAGUUCUUCGCGGGAAGCUUCGACGAGGGUUUCGACUCGGGUUUUUCAUAAGCUUUUCUUUACGUUUAGUUUAUAAUUUCUCGUGUUCUUCAUUUUGAUGCUAUGUUUGUAAUGAACUAAGCAUUUUCUUUUAGGGAAAUGAAACCUUGUAUAUAUUGAUUUUGAUUUCCAGAUCUGUGAUCUUUUUGUCGUUCUUUGAUUCUGUUUAUGUUUUCAUGUAUUAAAUGCUUUCGAUUGUUUGGCCAACAGUUGAAUUGAUUCUAAAUGGGAAUGAACUCGAGAGAGGAUUUCUCGUUUGAUUUUAGGAAAACAUAGCUCGGGUUGUGGAAACGGAGACGUGAUGCACCUCGGGUAGCCCUUAAGGACUUGACCUAAAUGCUCUCUUAAUAUCAGGUUCUGAACGGAGACGUCGGACCUGUGGGUAGACUCUAACUACACUGGAGACGGGGGUUAGGGUACUUUAGUGUCUGGGUUAGCGAACAUAGAAUUGACAAUAGAUUUCGAUUUGUAGAUCUUUAUCGAUAGUACACUGGUGGAUUUUACCCUAGAAGCCAUCACACGUUGGAAUUCCUCGCGUAUACUGGCGGACCGUUGUUUUCAUUAUUUUUGUUUCCUUUUGGCUUCAUGUCAUCUCCCAUCUUUUUCUCCCGUCUAGAUACAGUUUAGGAUAGUAUAAUUACGGUACUUGGUAGAUUUAGGAACUUAAUUCCCUGUGGAUCGAUAUCUGGAAUUCACUAUUCUACAAAACGCGAUACUGUACACUUGCGGUUAUUUAUACGUAGGUUUUACGCGUAUCAAGUUUUUGGCGCCGUUGCCGGGGAAUUAGUUAAUCUUGAAUUUACUAAUAUCGUUACCAACUAUCGUUACUUUACUUUAGACAAUUUUUUUUCUUUUGAUUUUUUUUUUUAAUUUUUAUAGCAGAUUUGUAUACAUCGAUGGCCUCGAUUUAUGAUCUCUCUCUUUGCAAGAUUCAAUCCAGAGCUGAUUACAUUCAACAUGAGUUGGAGGAUAUUGAAAGACAUCGAAGGUUGAACCCAGAAAAUGGAAUUGCACAAACAAAUGAGCACUUCUGCUAUCUACAAGAAGAACUCCACUUUUUGGCAAAUAUUUUCGAAAAUUUCAAGAGAUGUCACAUUCACAAACCACAUCCGACCAUCCUUUAUGAAGACAACGAGGUAUUUACAGAUUUUCGUAUAAACGAUGAGGUUGAGCACCUUGAGGGAAUUAUUCAUCCCAGUUCUGUAGAUACUUUAGCGUGUGAUGAGAGUGGGAUGAAGAUGAUGGUAGAGGAACUUGACGAACAUAAUCCUAUCCACAUUGCUAUUCCAGAUUUGAGUGUGAGCAAGGAGACGAGUUUCAAAUUUGAGGUAGAGCUUUCUCCAAAGCUCGAGUAUCUUGUAUACGAGUUUGAGAGAUCGGUAGGCAAGCAACCCAUCCUAGUCUCCUACCGACUGAUUUCCAAAGCAAACGAAAAGUACCAUGGGUUGGGAUGGUCAUUACAAGAUUGCAAUCUAGUCCACGAUAUGAUUGCAAAGUAUGUAUCAAGACUGACGGAUGGAUGCGCAAUCUACAAGGUUUUGGAUUGGACAUAAUCCGUCCAAAACGUGUCGAGCCGUCGACUGUAAAACAGGCGCUGAAUGGGAGGCAACCCAUUAUUCAUUUUUCGUCAUUUAUUUUGUUAGUUUUCUUUUAUUUUUGCAUUUUUUUUAUUUAAAGCUAGAUUUCACCCAUUUUUCUUGAUUUUUGCCGGUAUCUCGUCCCCAAGGAAAGAAGAGUAAGAAGUCGGGAAGUCUAGGCAAUUCCGGCAAUUCGCUCUCGGUGCCAAAAUUCACGGCACCCCGUGCAACCAAAGAACACUUUCGCAACCGUAGAACACUGAUCAAUCUGCGGCACGACUGUUCAGGGCGUAUUUCUUUCUCAUAUCUUUUAUUUUUCGCAUUGAGGGCAAUGCAUGAUUUAAGUUUGGGGGUGCGUUUAGCUUAUUUUGAUUUGGUCUUUUGCAUGCAUAUCAUAUAAUUUAGUUUUAUUUAUGUAUUUCGAUUUUCGUAAUUGUGUUAUGUUUGUCACAUGCAUUUCAUAUAGGAUCGAGUGUAAGUUGCAUUUCCGGAUUCUAUUGAAGCAAAGCAAUUAAUGAAUUAGUAGACUGGCUAGUUGAUUUUAAAAUUGAAAUUAUGGAUAACCGGCUAAUUAUAGAUGUACCUUCCGACUGCGUUUUUGCAACUUGUGUGGAUAGCCUUUCGAAUCCUUUCCGAUUAAGCUUGAGCGCACUUUUCUGAGGGGUAUAAUAGUCUGAGGUUUGGGGGGCGAGUUAGAAUUGAAUUAUGUGUUCACGAUUUCCAGUUGUUGGCUAAAAGUUCUAUCAAUGGUCUUUACGUUUUUAUUUUAUGUUCGAUGUUAAAAAAAAAAAAAAGAGAAAAAUAAUAAUUUAUGGUAGUGUUGUGAUUCACGCUUUGAUUUCCCCGCCUUUCUGACUCGAGCUUAACCCGUUGGGUGCACCUCGUCACCUAAGUCUCUCGAGCUGUCGAGCUUGGGGGUUUCUUGGACUAAAGUUCGAUACAUGGGUCAGGGAGAUAACACAGUGGUGUCGAGCCUUGCACGAGUCACGAUUAUGCCCGUUUCAAAAAAAAAUGAAAAAAGAAAAAAUUGUGAUGAAAAUCACCAAAAAUAUUGUUGUUGUCAUUUCUUAUAUUGAAUAAAUAGACCUACUUAUGCCCAACUCGAGUUUUUGAAUUUCAGAAUCAAAACUUGCUUUUCACCCACAUUUCUACUCAAAAACCUCGAUGAUUGUGUUUAUUGUUUAAUUACGGAUUCUUGAGUCUAUCUUUCAUUUUGGUGUAGAAACAACUAAUUGCGUCGGUAGGAAAGUCGAAUACCUUAAGCCGUAUGCCAUUCUAAGAUUUUAAGUUAUCUAGCUUGUUUUAUCUUUGGAAUUAAUUGCAAUGCUUUGACCAAUCCGGCAACUUUGUGGGUGUGUUGUCUGAAAACCCUCACGAGACACAACUCGUCCUUUGGGGGUACCCAGGGGUUCAACGGCUUGUUGCAUACGCUAAAUGCAAUCGUGAUUCCCUACGUUAAUGGCCUAGGUUUAGUUUUUUGCUUUCGUCGUUUUUGUUUUUGGGUUGUAGUUUGUUUCGUUUUGAUUUACUCGGGACGAGUAAAGAUCUAAGUUUGAGGGUGUGAUAAGUGUUCGUUUUGCACAACUUUUACUUAUCUAAUCUUCGUGUUUUGGUCUUCAUUCGUCCGAGUUUUCGGCUUUAUUUGUAUAUAUUAUGUUGUUUUUGUUUUAUUUAUAUUUUUAGGUAAAGAUAAGCUAUUUUUGCCGAUUCGAGACGAUUUUGGAAGCGAAGCCGAGAAUCAAACCAAACACGUGCAAAAGUGCAUUCUCGCGGAUUGUGGCAGUGUUUGGUAUUUCAAGCAUAACUUUUGCAUACGACCUCCGAUUGGGCUGAUUCAAGUGGAUUUAGAAAGAUAACUUCAAGGGCUACAACUUUUGUGAAAUGCACAAUUGUCGAAUUCGGGCUGAAAAAGGGUGAAAAAAGUGUUUGAAGUUAAUGCAGAGGCCAGAUCGCGAUCCAGAAUCACCGGAUCGCGAUCUGGUGCCAAAUUCCAGUAGCAGCGAAAAGUUGGGGCAGAUCGCGAUCCGCACUUCCUGGAUCGCGAUCUGGGAAGGCGGUGGGCAGUUUUCGAGGUUGCCAGAUCGCGAUCCAAGAAGCCCAGAUCGCGAUCUGGGCACAGAAAUCGAGACUAGAUAUUUUUCUUUGAUUUUUCACUAUAAAUAGAAGGUCUCUUUUUCAUUUUUAUAUAUCUCGAUUAACUCUCGAUUAUCUCUCGACUUCUUCUUCGGUUUUCUCUUCGGUUCUCGCCAGUUCUUCGCGGGAAGCUUCGACGAGGGUUUCGACUCGGGUUUUUCAUAAGCUUUUCUUUACGUUUAGUUUAUAAUUUCUCGUGUUCUUCAUUUUGAUGCUAUGUUUGUAAUGAACUAAGCAUUUUCUUUUAGGGAAAUGAAACCUUGUAUAUAUUGAUUUUGAUUUCCAGAUCUGUGAUCUUUUUGUCGUUCUUUGAUUCUGUUUAUGUUUUCAUGUAUUCAAUGCUUUCGAUUGUUUGGCCAACAGUUGAAUUGAUUCUAAAUGGGAAUGAACUCGAGAGAGGAUUUCUCGUUUGAUUUUAGGAAAACAUAGCUCGGGUUGUGGAAACGGAGACGUGAUGCACCUCGGGUAGCCCUUAAGGACUUGACCUAAAUGCUCUCUUAAUAUCAGGUUCUGAACGGAGACGUCGGACCUGUGGGUAGACUCUAACUACACUGGAGACGGGGGUUAGGGUACUUUAGUGUCUGGGUUAGCGAACAUAGAAUUGACAAUAGAUUUCGAUUUGUAGAUCUUUAUCGAUAGUACACUGGUGGAUUUUACCCUAGAAGCCAUCACACGUUGGAAUUCCUCGCGUAUACUGGCGGACCGUUGUUUUCAUUAUUUUUGUUUCCUUUUGGCUUCAUGUCAUCUCCCAUCUUUUUCUCCCGUCUAGAUACAGUUUAGGAUAGUAUAAUUACGGUACUUGGUAGAUUUAGGAACUUAAUUCCCUGUGGAUCGAUAUCUGGAAUUCACUAUUCUACAAAACGCGAUACUGUACACUUGCGGUUAUUUAUACGUAGGUUUUACGCGUAUCACAUAUUAAGAUUUCGGUUACUUUUAUGUUUUUAUGGCUAAAUGAUUUUGUGAAACUUUAUGUGUAUUUUCGAUGUGCUCUUGCUUGCUUAUGUGAAUCAUUGGGUGUGAGGACGAGAGAAGGGUAAGUAGAAGGGUGCAUGUGUGGGUGCAUUAGUGUCAUGAAUUUUAAAAGAUAAAACUAUCUUGGAAAGUCUUUCGAGGUUACGGUAAAUUUCCCAGGUACGGCGAGUCGGUACCGUAGGGCCUAGGGGUGGUUUGAUCCCACGUAGAUAGACAUGAUUCGAUAUAUAUGUGAGGUUAUUUACCGGUAACUUAGAUUGGCUCUUCCGAGGGAUUCCCGACAAUUUUUCAUGUCAUGCAUGUUGCAUUAUGGUGUUGAUGAUAUAGGUGGGAAAAUCUCACUCUAUGGUCUUAGGAUCGUAGGGUUAUAAAGGUGGGAAAUUCCUUCUAUAAUCUUCAAUACGUGUCAUGGCAUAGGGUUAUAAAGGUGGGAUAUUCUCACUCUAUGGUCUUGGGAUCAUAGGGUUAUAAAAGUGGGAAUUAUCUCACUCUAUGCGUGUGGCAAUUAUGUGAUGAAGAACGCCGACGAAAAAGGGAAGUAUAUGAUUGUUUUACUUUAUGUUGCAUGUUCAUGUAUAAGAUAUAUGUAUGUAUAUANNNNNNNNNNNNNNNNNNNNNNNNNNNNNNNNNNNNNNNNNNNNNNNNNNNNNNNNNNNNNNNNNNNNNNNNNNNNNNNNNNNNNNNNNNNNNNNNNNNNUAUAGAUAUAUGUAUGCUCUAUGGGCUAAGGGUAUUCGAUCAUACUUCAAGAUUCUCAUUGAGUCCUCAAAGGCUCAUAUAGGUGUUGUAUGUUUGUAGGUAUACCCGAUUUGGAGCCCGAGGAAGUGAAGUUGGGAAUCGAGCUCGAGAAUCGGAGGAGAUCGUAUGGAGGGGUUGUGGAUUGUGUUGGCUCUUAAUCUAGUCAUGUGGUUUUAUUUGUAUAAUAUGCUUGUAAAAACUUUUGAUACGGUUUUAGGUAUUUUCUACCGUUCGCUUCCUCCGAUCGGUGGGAAUUAUUAAAAGACGAUAUGUGUAAUAGUAAUUAGGAUUACCCUAUUUUGGAUAAUUAAUCGGUAAUCCGUAGCUUUUGUAAGCGAAAGCAAAUUUUCACUAUUUAUAUGUAUGCAUGCUUCCGGCUAGUAAUUUCUUCGUGUUUUGUCUCCAUGUUCUAAAAUUAUUUUCGUAUAGGUUCUCUGCUUAGAAAAUUAUGAAAUUUUAGGAGUCUCUGCAUAUCUCUGUUCUCAUUAUAUUGAUAGGUCUUAUGCAUGAUUUGGGUAAGUAUUUAUUUAGUUAUGAUUUAUUUCUCACUACUGCACUGAAACAGGGUCAUUCGGGUGUUUUCUGGUAUAACUGGAGUUUUACUCACUCAAAUACCUUGUUUCCACUUGUAAAAUGUUUUCAACUUACCUUUCUGCCUUGGGGUAAAAUUGGGUAGCUUUUGGGUCAGUGAGGAAUUUAUUAUGAAUUUUCAAAACUCCAUCCCCUGUUCUGGAUUUUAAACUGAGUGACUGUGCCAUUUUAUUUAUUUCUCCUAAAUGGCCAUGCAUCUUUCAAAACUGUUUCAACUGGGUGAUCUAGACCCGUGUUAGAUGAUAUGGUAUUAGUUUGGGGUCAUUUGAAUGAGUAGUUUAAGAGGAAUUAAUUUUUAAAGCUUCUGCAUUGAAUCUGUCCGCAUUUGCAUUAAGUCCAUCAUGCCUAGUUAAUUUCUAGUCUUGCAUGUAGUAUGCUUUUAAAAAGAAAAAUUUUUACGUAAAUUUUAUAUCCACAAAAAUCAUUUUAAAAGUCUUCCGCUGAGAUUACAUAUAAUAAGAGUAAUCGAGAGAGGGGUGUCACAUAUAUAACCUCUACUCUUAUGCCAAAAUAUAUUUCGUAGGCAAUAAACUCAUGAGUUUUAAUUUAUUUUUACCAAAUGAUUUAUGGGCGGAAAUAUUUACAUCUACUUUGAUCAAUUUAACAAGAUCUUGAAGAUGACUAUCUUUCACUUCGUCGUUGUAGGCCUAAUCCCAUAUUUAAUUUUAUAAUGGCCUUUCAAUCAACCCUUAAUAAAAAUGUCCAUCGUUUAUAUGGGUACUGCACCCAAUUAAUUUUAUUUUAAUAGCCUCAUUUGCCUUUGAGGGGAAUCACAACUUUUAGACUUUUAGUGACUCUACGGACAUCACAACAGGAGUUAUAUUUACGGCUUCUAUAUUGGCCAUUAUUGGGGACUACGACGUCCACCAUCUCUACGGACAUUAUGUUCGGAGUAAUUAUCAUAUAGCCUUUAAAUCGACCCUUUAUUUGGACUCCUAUGCGGCGGAGUCAUUUUCAUUUCUCAUUAUCUAAAUCAACACAUUUCCUUUUGCUAAUUCAAACAAGAUUAUUAAAUAAAUAGAUCGAAACUUGCACAUGCCAAUCACAAGUUUCUAAAUUUACAAAAUCAAAAUCAUGUAAUGCAAGUUGAAAAUUCAUAGUCGAGGCGAGAGAUAAUAACCUUUUUUUUUUCUCAUAAAUCAACAUGCACAUAAUUAUAGAUAUACAUCAUUCCUUUCCUCCGAAAAUCGGUUGCGUAUAAAUACCGUAGUAUUCGCUUCACCAUUUGAUAUCGAGGAUCUGGAUUUUAUCAAAUAAAAUAACAUAACAUAAACAAACUUAGAUAAGCUACCUUUUUUCGAGCAGAACUUCGUGCUGAUAAUGUAUUGUGAAAUAAUUUCCAUUAGCUCAUGAGUGUUAAUGAUAUAUGGAAUAAUCCACCAAAAUAAGGUUAGUGGAAAAGCCAUUUAUAUAUAAUAAAUAUUGUGUAUGUAUAUAUAUGUCAUCAUAUAAGGCAAAAUAAUGUAAUAUAAUAGAGAAUCACACUAAUUAGUGGGAUAAUUAACAAAUAAAGAAACAUAAGAAGUUGGGAGAAAAAGAAGGCUCAUGGCCAUUUUAUUAAUUCAAAGAGUAUACAUGUAUUUAUAGGCAUGAGAAUGCCUUAGUCACCAUUACACAUGUCAUUACUUGAUAACUUCUAUAAUCUAAUUGUGAUACUUAUCUAGGACACUUGUCAGUGCCAUAUUUUCCAAUGUGCUAAAGUCCAUAGUAUUAUAACAAUUUUUAUUUUUUAGUUGAUUCAAUAAUUUAUAGUUAAUUUCAAUAUUUUGUAGAUAUUUCAAUAUUUUUUUUAGUUAAUUUUUGAUACUUUAUGGUUGAUUUCAUUGUGGUAGACAUGCUUUUUUUUUUUUAAACAAAUCGAUAAUAUAUUAGGCACUCACGACCAAAUGAGAAGGUAGGAAAGUCCCUUUAACAGAGUCUGAAACAUGAAAGGACGCUAAAUUGUGAGCAAGACAAUUGCCGUGUCUCUUAACAAAAGAAAAUGAACAAAAGAAAAAUAAAUGAGCCCUUCACAAUUUUUUUUUAGGAAUUUCAUUUUGUGGUUCAUAUAUAUAUAUAUAUAUAUAUAUAUAUAUAUAUAUAUAUAUAUAUAUAUAUAUAUAUAUAUAUAUAAAUGUGUGUGUGUGUGAGAUACGGGCUUAGUUGUCAAGGUCCAUAUUGACUUUAAAGCCCUUCACAAAGCCCAAGACUAAAGGCAGUUGGCCUCUUUUUCCGAUCGGGCUUCCCUUCAUCUUCACUUCUCUUUAUCCCCAAGGCCCAUUCCAUUUUAGUAUUAUUAUUUAGGCUUCAUGUAUAUAUAUAUAUGUAUAUUGGCUGAAUAUAUUUUUAGAAAAUAAUAGAAUUUUCAGAAUUAUUUUUGAAAAUUAAAAUCAAGACAAAAAUCAAUGUUUUUUAUUUAUUACAAUUCCAAUCCAAAAAUUCUGAAUUUUCAAAAUUUCAGAUGUGAAUUGAAGUAAGUUGAAAAUUUUCGUUCCAAUUUAUACAUUAGCUGACUAGCCUCAAUGAGCCACAAAGACAGCCAAAAAGAUUCAAGAUAAGUGAAUCAUGGAAAUUAAAUUAUUAACAUCUAAUCCAUAAUUUGUAGGAAAGUUCUAUCAAUUAACUACGAUAUUAUCCAUAGUAAUUUGAGUUUUCAAUAUUCAAACCUGAGAACAAAAGAAUCUGCCAGGCAUAAAUAUAAUCUAUGUUUCUACCAAAAUCAUCGAACAAGAAACAGGACACAAUCCACUGAUAGAACUCCAACGGUCAAGUCAAUAAUAUAUGGAGAGUGUUCGAUCGAUGAUGUUGAAGAGACGGGCAUUGAACACCAAAUGCCCAUAACCAGAGAUCCAACUCAACGCUCAAAACCUGGAUCAAAAGAAACACGAGCCAACGACGAAUUUCAAAUAAAGGAAAAACGUUCAUAAAAGAAAUUAACUACGAAAAUCAACUAGUAAUUAUUCAUGUUUUAUGGAAUUGGGAAAAUGAACAGAGAAGUCCAUUAAUAAGGCAACAGAGGUUGUUUAUGACGAGAGCAGGCUUAGUGCAGGUAGAGAAGCCAAGAAGAGGUUGAAUAAGAGGCUUCAACUACCACACACUAACAGGUGUGUGUGUGUUCGUAUGUUCACAAGAAUAUUAUUGGUGUAUACGGUGGCGGUGGCGGUGGCUGAGGGUCGGUUUGCAUCAGCAGGUGGCAAAUCAUCGCAUUUUGGUUCUUGGCCGCCGCUUUUGCGUACACAGCAAAACGUUGUCUUCGGUCGGAUUAAUAUUGAUUCAAAGAACUGCUCUCUUUUUGUAAGAAACUUGUUUGUUUCCGCCUUUGCUUGGAAUAUUUCGUAUUGUCGGCGGAGAUAGGCCAUUACAUAGGGCGCUGCCGACACUAGCUAAGCGUAGAUGGUAUGGUGUGGCGGCAGUGUGGUGACGAUGGGGAGGCAGAUCUACGUUUUUUUGGUGGAUCAGGCAGAGGACGGUGUGGGUAGAGAAUUCCCGCUGGCUCGAACCUUAAUCGACUACGUACAUGUUCAAUAGUCGAUUAAGCUAAUCGACUAUGCUCUGAUAGUCAAUUACGGUUGAUUUUUUGAUUUUUUUAUGAUUUUUUGUUUAUUGAUUUCAAUUGUAUAAAUCAAUUAUAAUGUUUUGUAUAUUUUUUGUCUUUUGUAAAACAUAGUUGAUUUUGCAUUUUUUCGCAAUUGUGAUUUGUUAUGUUUAGUAGCAGAUUCUUAAUCGACUAUGCUUCAUCAUAGUCGAUUAAUAUACCUGAUAUAGAAAAACAAUUAAAAAACAAAAAUAACAAAUUAAAAAAUUAAAGAUUUUCCUUAAUCGACUAUGAAGCAUAGUCGAUUAAGGCUAAUCGACUAUGCUUCAUAGUCGAUUAAGGAAACUGAUACAAAAAAAAAAAAGAAACAAAAAAAUUCGCUGAGCGCGUGACCCAGUGAUGAUGUGACGGGCAGGGGCAAAGCUGGAAAACACAAUGGCUCAAAAUGGGUGUGGGCUUUUCUCAAAUGGACUGAAAUAUUUUGGACCUCUCUCCAUUAAAAAAAGUAAUAUGAGGGGGGUUUCCUCAAAGAGCCCCUUUGUCUAAAGUCGAUAUUCUCUUACAUACUCAAUAGAUGGAUAAUUCAAACACAAUCGUAAUCUAAAUCAACCUCUGUCUAUUUUCAAAUUGUUAAAGAGUAUCUUAUCUAAUAACAAGUAAAACUCCAUUCAAAUUUUUUUACAUAACUUAAAAAAAAAAAAUCAUUUGGUAAACAAAAGAAAUGUAAAAACAUAAGAUUAGGGUAAGUAAUUUAAAAAACAGAACAUAGGGGAAGUAAUUAUAAUUUUAUAAUUGUGUAUGAAACACGUUGAUUUUCAUAAUGUUUUUAACUCUCUUAUUUUUCAAACUAAAUUUUAGUUAUGGUUAAGUGCUUAGUGGACUAAGUAGUGCUUAGUGGGCUAAGUAUAAUACUUAGUGGACUAAGUAGUGCUUAGUGGGUUAAAUUGUGGAUAUUAUCUUAACUACUAAACAAACCCACUAACCCAUGUUCUUGAGUGCUCUUGUAGUUGGUUUUCUUGCAGAGCAUGGGUUGAGGAGUGGAAGCUUGGAAUGUCUAUAAAUACCGACUUCAAGACUCAAGGAAAGUUGCGGAUUCUAAGAAAUAAAAACCGAGAGCUGAAAAGAAUACAUGAGAUUUUUAGUGUGUUUUUAGAAUCUGUUUUUACGUAAUCCUCAAGAGUACAUUCUUUACGUACUCCUCAUGAGUACAUUCUUUACGUACUCCUCACGAGUACAUUCUUUGAAAUCUAGAAUUUUUAGUAUUUAUCUUUUUUUGUUUCUAGAUUUGAAUGUAAGAAUGAUCAUGUUAAUGAUUCAUUCAUAAGGAAGAAGUUUUCGUACAUCUUCUCUUUGUAUUCGUGUAAUACUGUUUUAAUAUAAUUUUUCCGUCCUGUAAAGGGCAAGUUCACAAGUUUUACUUGUGAACAUUUUUUAGAACGAGUAUUGUUUUUAUAUUUCCGCUGCAUGUAUAUACAUGUGUCAUAGCACUUAAUAUAACAUCCCUGUAUUAAACGAAUUCGGGACCAUAAAUUCUUUCAAUUGGCAUCAAGAGCCAACGCUUGACGUAUACUAAGUGUUUGUUCCUAUUUUUUCAGAAACGAAUUCGUGAUGGAUACUCAGAUGACUGCUUCUAUGCGACCUCCUGUACUUGAUGGCACAAACUACACCUACUGGAAAGUCAAGAUGAUGGCGUACAUCAAAGCCAUUGAUGAGAGAUCCUGGAGAUCUAUUCUUACUGGAUGGAAGCCACCAACUAUCACAGAUGCGGAUGGGGAUGUAUUUACAACACCAGAAUUACGGUGGACAACAGGCGAUCUAUCAAAUGCCAAUCAAAACUCAAAGGCGUAAAAUGCAAUCUUUAAUUCAGUAGGUUUAAAUCAAGAUCGAAGGAAGUUCUUCAUCAAAUUCAAGGCGUUCUUCAUCAAAUCGAGGGCGUUCUUCAACAAAUCAAGAUCGAAGGAAGAUUGAAGGGUCAAAUCCAUCAAGAACUUCAAGAUCUUCAAGUCAAAACCCGUCAAAGUUCAGCGUUCGAUCCGAGAUUCAAGUCGCAAGACCCUCGAAGACGUUAUUCAAAUCCAAAUCAAAUCCGGAGAAGAUUAACUCAACGACCCGACUCCAAAAUUUAAAGUCAAAACAUACAUCGUUCUAGAGAGAAGAAUCAGAGGAUUAAAUUAGAGUUUGUAACCCGCAAUAUUUAUUUUUAAUUCAAUAAAAUUAUCUUUAAUUUGUGCAAGUUUUUCUUGUUUGUCUAAAUCGCAGAUAAGAAUUUGUUGUUACAACUUUCAACUAGAAAUAAUACAGUUUCAUUUAUGAACAGUGAUGAAACAAUUAUUUCACUUUGUCCGGUUCAACACAUGCCGGGUGUGCUAGCACAAUAAGUCAAAACAAUAACUACAAAAGUUAUUCGCUGUUUACUGUGAUCAAGACCAAUCACUUAAAUAUUGUGCUACAAUCUUUUACCAAUGGUUAGUUCAUUUCCAUCUAGAUUGUAAACGUUUAUCUUUAUAUUCUAAACGAACUUUCGAAAUGAUCUUUCUGUGCGCCGUAGCACACCAUCUCGAAUACUAUUAGAAUAUUAGACUUAUGCUUUUAAUUAAUUGACAAACAAUCAAUUAAAUGCAUCGAAUACCCUAGUGCAGAUUCUCAUAAAAUGAUAAUAAACUAUUUUAUUAAUUCAAUAAUAAAAUUAUGUAGCUAAAAGCGAGACUUUUAGUCUACUAUCCUAACAAUCAGACUACCACCAAUAUGAACAACAACUUCAUUUGAAUGAUAACAGUUAUAUAUCAAAAGAUCCUCAAUAUAGUGAGAUCUGCAAUUUCGUAAACAAAAAAGUACCCAAUUGAAAUCCUAAUACUUUGAAAUCCCAAAAUACAAAAAUUGAACCACAACAACAGAAAUCCGUAAUCCUUACACCUCUUCGAGGACACGAGAUAAAUCGACCCUCUUGAUUUUUAUCUGACCAAGAAGUUUGCAAACCCAACUUCAAAUUGCAACCACAAAAACCAAAAUCGUUUGGGAUGUAGUUGUUUUCACGGAAUGUUUUGUGAGAUGCGCUUCCACUGACGUUGUUGCUGGACCCAGAGCUCAUCUCCAAAUAUAUUAGAUAGGAGCAUAAUCGAUUGAGAAUAAAAUGAAAGAAAUUGAUCGACUGCGUGAAGCUCUCUUCAGUAGAGAAAUCGAAUUUUUAUUUUUGUUAUGAAUAUAUUAUGAGCUAAUAGUACAGAACCCCAUGUGUUAUUUCUAAUUGGCAUAAAAGACCUCAUGAUAAAAUAAUUAGCAAAGACCCCCUUACGUUUGGCUUUAUAUAGCACACCGCUCCUUUUUAACAGAUUUAAUUGUUGACUUGAAUGAAAUUACAAAAUUAACCUUGAUUUAAAAACACAAUAUACCGAAAAUCCAAUUGAAAAAUUUGUGAAAAGAAAAAUAAAAAAUAGAGAAGUCUUCUUCUCUUCCCUGUUGACCCACUCCCACCCCAAAAUAAUUCUUCUUCAACAACCAUCAAAUAAGCCAUUUUUACUGUUCCCCUUCUUCCUUCAAUCUUCCACCACCAUACCCAACCGUCAUUACCUCCACCCGUCGUCGGCGCCGCCCCAUACUCUGCCGGUGUUAGCCGUCACCACCAUACCCAACCGCCAUUACCUCCAUCCGCCGCUGCCCCCGCCCCAUACUCUGCCCCCAUACGCUGCCCCCGUCACCACCAUACCCAUCCGCCGCCGCCGCCCCAUACUCAACAUGCUCGUGCCCCUUCUUCGUUGACGGAACUGUGGAUAUGUCGCCGGUUGAAAUGGUCGGAGUUUCUCCGGAGAGAUGGAACAGAGGAAAGGAGACCGCUUACCUUCCCCUUUGACAUUUGUCAGAUUUGGGAGUGGGGAGUUCUGGUGAGGUACCUUCCAAACAUUUUGCCGGAAAAAAAAUAUAUUUGCAAAGGAGGGCACCAUCAGGAAGCAUUGUGUGUGUGUUUUGCGUGAAAAUUGUGGAAAGUUUGAUUGGGGAGGAGAUAAUUUGGAGAGAGGGCGUUUUAGAAAUUGUCAAGGACUGAAUUGAAAAUUCUUAAAGCUUCAAUUUGGGGUUAUGAAAAUUUUGAGGCUAAUAUGUAAUUUUCCACUUUUUAUUUAAAGGGUAUUUAUAUCUUUUCAGGUCAAAAUAUGCAUCCCAGCCGCACAAUGAGCGCGUGCAGAACACGAUAAGAUGUUAGGGACUUUAUUGGCUUUGACUAACUUUCAUAGGGGGGUCUUUGCUAAUUUUUUUAACAUAAAGGGUUUUUCAGCAAUUAGAAAUUACACAACGGUGGUUCUUGCAAAAAACCCAAUAUAUUAUAUGUCAAUUUAUUAUUAUUCUUAUAAAAAUGGCAUUUUAGUAUAUUUAUCAAUUAUAAUUAUAUCAUCUCACACAAAAAAAACGUGUGAGUAAUUUAUCACCAGAAAUAUAUUCAAAAAAAGCAAACAAGAGAAUAGCAAAGUUACGUAUUCAUCUUCACCACAAAUCUAUCUAAUCUAUAUCACCGCCCAACUGCCGGUCUAUAGACUAUAUAUACAUACCAUUCAAAGCUUGCAGCUCAGACUCUCACCAUUGAAGAGCAAAAAAACAAUAACAAAACUAAAGAAAUCAUCAUUUCAUUUCUUCUAUCCCUCCCAUGGAUUUUCCAACAUUUCUUCUGGUUGUCUUAUCCAUCAUUUGGAUAUCUACCAUGAUUCUUACUUUCAAUUCCAGGGCCCGAAAGUCAUCCAAACUCCCUCCAGGCCCGAAUAGAUUCCCCAUAAUAGGCAACAUCCUCGAAAUCGGGCCGAAACCCCACAAAUCACUCGCCAAAUUAGCAGCCAAAUACGGGCCGGUUAUGUCACUAAAACUCGGUACACUAACAACAGUAAUCAUCUCCUCCCCCAAAGCUGCAAAAGCAGUGCUUCAAACACACGAUUUAAUCUUUUCCAGCAGAACAGUUCCCUGCGCCGCCGAAAUCCUCAGCCACCACGAAUCCUCCAUUGCGUGGCUUCCCGCCGAGAAUCGAUGGCGGAAGCUCCGAAAAUUAUGCCAAGAGCAGAUGUUUUCCGUCGCCAGGCUGGACGCCAGCCAGAAUUUGAGGAGAGAGAAGCUGCGGAAGCUCCGCGGCUACGUCGGAGCCUGCUCCGAAACGGGCCGGGCCGUGGAUAUCGGCGACGCCGCAUUCACGACGGCACUGAAUUUGAUGUCGGCGACUCUUUUCUCGUUAGAAUUCGCGCCGGAGUUCGAUUCUGAUUCGUCGCAGGAGAUGAAGGACGUUGUUUGGGGGGUGAUGAAAUGCGCCGGUAGACCGAAUUUUGCGGAUUAUUUCCCCAUUCUUAAACCGGUCGAUCCUCAGGGAAUCCUCAAAGAAGCAAAGAUUUAUUUCCAGAAGCUGUUUGUUAUUUUUGAUGGGAUAGUUGACGAUAAGUUAAAAUCUGGGGGUGAAAGUGGGAAAGAAGAUUUGUUGGAGGCCUUGAUUGAAAUUAACCGAAGGGAUGAGAAUGAAUUAACCAAAAAUGAGAUCAAACAUCUCCUGCUGGUAAGUUCUGCACUUGUUUCCCCAAUAGAAAGUAGUUCUAUAACUGUUAUUUUUUAUAUAUUUUUAUUUAUAUUUUUUAUUUUUUGUUAGGUAAACUUAAUUAGUCAACUAGGUUUGGAAAUCAAAUCAAACUUCUCAAUAUUAAAUGAUAUUUGCUUGGUUGGUUAAAACCUCAUUGGAGUUUAGUUUAAUAAAACCAAAAUUUUGACUUACUAUUAGGGCUGAAAGUUAUGGAAUUUCUAAUUUUGCCUGUUCCGAUUUAGGAACAACUUUUUUUAUUCAUGUUUUCGAAAUUUUAAUUUCAGAUUUUUUUAGAUUGAAAUUGGACUUAUAUAAAUUUGUUUUUAAAAUUUUAAAUUUUCAUUCUGAUUUAAUUUCUAAAAUUAAUUUCGAAAAACUAUACACACAUAUAUAAUAUCUUAUUUAUCUUACUUUGUGUAAAUAAUUUAAAUAUUUUACAUAUUAUUACAGAGGUAUGUUGGAGACCCAAAAUAUUUCAUUUGCUAUUUUUCAUGUGAAAAGAGACCUAGUUUAUUUCCUAAUUUAAACAUUUAUUAUUUCAGGGUUUAGUAUUUUUUGUUGUAUUUGAAUUAAUAUAUAGGUCCCUACAAAUAAAAGGAAAUAAGUGCUAAAUUGAAAUCAUUAUAUUUUAUUUUUAAAAUAUACAAUUUAUCAAAUGAGUGGUCUUAAUUUUACAAUUUUAUGAAAGUGAGUGUUCUUAUUUUUAAAAAUUUGAAAGUAAAAUGGAGAUGUUUGGUUAUGUUUCCAAGGGGAAUUUCUAGUUUAUUUGUUUUUUGUGUAGAAAAUGAGAAUAUGUUUGGAUGAAUGGGUAUUUUUAGUUUUAUGUAAGUGUAGAAAUGGGUAUAUGUUUGGUUGUGGUGAAUUUUCUCUACGAUAGUACGUGCAAAUGUAGAAUAUAAUGAUUGAGGAUGAUGAUAUUGAUGAUGAUGAUUAUUAUUAUUAUUAUUAUUAUUAUUAUUAUUAUUAUUAUUAUUAUUAUUAGUAGUAGUAGUAGAUAGAGAAAUUGAGAAAAGGGAGUGUAGAUAGUAAUUAAGAGAUAGAAAUGAGAGGAGAGAGAGUGUGCAUGUUAAUGAGGAGAGAGAAAUGAGUUGAUGGAAUAAGAUAAGAUUUGUUUUUUUUUUUCUUUUUUUUUAUUAUUUUACUAAAUUGAAUUUUUUUUUUGAGUAAUUAUUGAAUUGAAUUUUUUUUUGAGUAAUUAUUGAAUUGAAUUUUAAGUUGAAUAAUUAUUGAAUUGAAUUUUAACUUUUAAGUUUGAUAUAUUUGUUAGGAUUUAUUCCUAGCUGGAACGGACACCACAAGUGGAACAGUGGAAUGGGCGAUGGCGGAAUUACUAAAACACCCUCAUAAAAUGUGUCGUGUCAGACAAGAAAUCAGAGACACCGUUGGAGAAAACAUAGAAGUUGAAGAAUCUGACAUCGCCCGGCUCCCCUACCUACAGGCGGUGGUUAAAGAGACGUUCCGCCUCCACCCCACCGGCCCUUUGCUGGUGCCCCACAAGGCCAACGCCGACGUUGAAAUCAACGGCUACAUCG